UUGGUUUUUGAUCAACCAAUCAGCCCACAGUCAUUGGUCAGGUGGAGAGAGAGAGGAAGGAAGGGAGAGAGGGAGUGAGGGAGGGGGGAGGGAAGGAGAGGAGAGCGAGGGAGAGAGAAGGGGAGUGAAGGAGGGAGAGCAUUGGGAACUCUGUGUUCCCAACUGCUAGAAUGCAGAAAAGAGAACCAGACAAUCCCCGUAAUGCAGUGGAGAUGGAUCCGAUUAAGAGCUGCAGGAAAGAGAGAGCGCCAAGGAACCAUCUUGAAGGUGUAAUUUACCAUGCCAGGCAAGUGACACUGGUUGGAGCCUGAAGCAGCUGGUGGGUCACAUGGUGUCCACGGUCAAGAAGAGAAUAAUGUAUGCUGGUGUCAGCUAACUUUGUUCUUUUUAUGUAGUCCACGAUCCAAGCCCAGUUUUAGUGAGAUUCCUCCUACCUCGGUUCAUCUAAUGAAGAUAUUCCCUCACAUGCAUUCCUACAAAUGGUGCCAACCUUUUGUAAAUUAUUUCACUCAACUGUGCCUCAAUUUCUUCAAAUAAUUACAGAUAUUGUCCAAUUGACAGGCAAGAGCAACCAUCACAAAGGGUGUUUUGGAAGCCUCUGCCUUCAGAUUUUGCUUUAUUUCACUGAUCAUCUGGGAUGAGAAGUUUGAUUCUGUUACACACCCCUAACCAGCGUGCUCUGCUGCCUCACAGGCACAAAAUGUUGGGGUCAGGAUAUCAUGUACAGAAACUUCUGAAACUGUGAUAUGAAAAACAAGACUCAAAACAAACAAAUACCAGCAACAACAAACUUAAUCUCUUUCUAAGUUAUUUAUCUCUGGAAUGUUGUUACAUCUAUGAAAGAUAAUAAAUACAAAAAUGGUUCUUAUCAUCACAGAAAUUCCUACCUGCCAGCAUGACAAUUAGAAUUAGAGAUGAUCUAUUAAUAAUAUCUAUCAUAUACUAUAUUUCCAUAUAUAAUUAUAAUUUUGAUUAGUUAAAAUUAAUUUUUAGCAAUAUGUGCUAAAUUCUCUACUAAGUAUGUUACAUAUAUUUGGUAUACUUGUUACUCUAAUUGCAAUUAGAAGUGAGAUUAUUCUUAUUCUGUGAAAGAGGAAAGAAAAGAUUCUUCUAAUUAUAUAGUCAAGAUUAUACCUACCAUAAUGUCUGACUCAAAAAUUACAGAGAAAAAUUUAAUAAAAAAGUUUUUCUUUUUUUAAUUCUCAUUGAAUUAUCAAAAUCUUGUGCUGCUAUAUGUUUUGCAGAGGUUUUUAUUAAUAUCCUUCAAAUCUAACAGAAAAAAAGCAACUGUGGUUAAAGUAGAGGUGGAAAUGUUUAAAGAUUUUGUGAAAAAAAAGGACAAGAAUGAGGUAAGAAAGGCAUUAUAAAUAAAUGAAGGUAAAGUAAGGAGGCUCUGAGGUAUGUAGUCUUGGCUGGUACAUUUCUGAAAGGACUUAUAUUACAUGUUCUGUUCCUUCAGAGAUAAUUGGAAGGUAUGGUUAUUAUUGCAAGAAAAAAAGAUACUUUCUCUUUUUGUCUCGGCUGAUCAAUACCUGCUUCUUUGUGGAGACGUUAGCUCUGAGUUACAUGUCGAGAGGAGCAAUUUGAUGCUGAAAGCACAGAAAUGGGUUGGGAAAUGUGUCCAAGUAGUUGAGUGUGGGAUCUUAUCAAUAGAACAAAUUGUGCUCUUAAGAAGUAAGGCCUUUGUCCACGUUCUUAUAUAGGCUCCACACCAUUUAUAUUAGUUCCAAGAAAAAAAAAACAAAACCAGAAAAUUCAAAUAGUAAGUAUAACUGUGUCUUGUUAAACCCGUGCUUGAUUGUAAAACAGCAAAUAACAGAAGAAGCACAUGAAUAUGAAAAUAUAUCAUAAAAUUAAUGUCCCGAUACUUUAUACCAGUUGCGUUUGUCAGAGGGUGUCCUAUUAUCAUUCAUAUCUGUUACUAUGUUAAAAUAUCCUGACAAAUGCAACUUUCAUUGGGAAGGGGCUUGUUUGCUUGACAACUCUAGGUGACAGUCAAUAAUUAUGGAGAGUUGACAGGAACUUGAAUCAACUGCUUAUAUUACAUCCGCAUUCAGGAGCAAAGAGGGAAUGAAUGUCCAUGUGCCUGCUUGUGUUUAGCCCAUUAUGGGCAUGUCUACACUCCAGGGCCCAAAUCCAAACCUUGCUGUCUGUGUGGGAAGAUCUUCCUACCUCAAUUCAAACAAUCAAGACAGUCUCCCGCAGAUAUGCCCACAGGCCAACCUGAUAUAUGCAAUUCUUCAUUAAUACCCCAUCCUGAGAUAAUUCUGCAUUGUAGCAAGUUGACAAUUUAACUAAGCAUCCCAUAUAUUAAUUAAAAAUACACCCCACAAUCCCAGAGUUUUAAGUUAGAAAAAAUUCUUAUGUCUCAUUCAUGUUACAGUGAAGGUAAAUAAAUUUAAUUGAUUUUAGCCAUGCUUGAUGAUUUCCUUCCAGAUGUCUAAGAACUCUAUCAUGUAGAACUUGCCUUUUCCAGGAACUAUAAAUUCACAUUAGAUACCUUGUGUGUAUUUGGGGGUUGGGGGGUGGGGAACAUAACUAUGACAUCUUCUUAGGUAGCUUCCUUUAACCAAGGCCCAGUCACAUGGUCCAACAUUGAAUUACAUAAUGUGGUAACAAUAGAUUACACUGCCAAAGUUCUGAGGGUCAGGCAUAUGUGACCUUGCCUCUGAAGAGAUUACAUUAGUUUAUAGGCAUUUGGAAGCUAUUCAUUAAGGAAACAAAUUAUUUUCCUUCUACAAGCUUUCUAAUUAAAUGUCACCUUCCUUGUCCUUAGCAAACAGACUCAGUUCCUACUUGAGUAAGAAUAUCAAGCUCAUCAAGUUUCCCCCUGGUCUUUUCAGUCUUUUAGACUUUCUUCCAGAGAAGUUUUUUUUCCUGACGAAAAUCCAAUUCUUGAUAGAAAUCGCUGGGGUUCUUUGUGUCCCACCGCCCUUGCCUUAUCAAUUAUUCCUCAUUCUUCUUACAUAAUUACCAGUGUGAACCUUCACAAUGUUUUUCAUACAUCUCACUGCAAAAGUUCCCUCGAAUUAAGGCUGUACUCUGAAUAUUAGUUUAAGUCGGUUUCAAAAGAGUCCUUGAUGAUAAAGUCUCAAAAGUAUAUUCUAUUGACUCUUCUAAUUUAUUUUUUAAAACCUAUCUUCAUAACACAUCAGCAAAGUAAUUGCUUUUAUUCCACAUGGGGUUGUUUACUAUGUCCUUGUCACGCACUAGAGUCCAGGUUUUCCACUGUCUACACCUGUUUGAUUCACCCUGAUUCUCAGUGCUCGGCUCAGUGCAGGAUAGUAAGUGAAAAAAUAUCCAAUGAAUAUUCAACAAAUAGGUCCACUGUGAUUGACACAAACUGAGAUUCUAAGUGACACAUUCAUGAUUAAAUCUAGUAGAUAUGUUUCCACUUUUAAUUUCCCAGACUGCUCUGUACCUUGCACCCUCAGAUGAAUCAUUUUGUUUAAGUUUUCUAAUUCUUUGAUGACCCUGGCCCAUUAAAACCCUUGUUCUUUUUGAUGGCUCCUUCUCAGCCUACUCAAUGGCUUAUGCCAUCUUCUCUUUUGCACAUAAGAAAGGACAUUGAAGCUUCACAUGUGGGCUGCACACUUCAGUCUUUAAGUUACUGUUGAUGAUUUCAUUUACAUUAAGGGUUUGGUCUGUCACUCACAUAAUGAUACUCCUGUGACUAUAUUUAUUUCUAGACUUUUCUUUGGAGUUAUAGACUUUUAACCAAAUUAUCUGCUCAAUGUUACUGAAGUCUUAAGUUCAAUUGGAUAGAAAUCAAAUCACGUAUUCUUUAAGGUUAUUUUUCUUGUUAUCUGAAAGUCAGAUUGACAUCAAUCUGAAGAAACAAGGGUUUCUAACCUAACUUUCUUGUCUCCUUCAUCCUGUCAAUCAUAAACUUGCUCUGUCACUUAUAAUUGCAAAUAUUUUGUUUGUCCUGUUUCCCUCCAUUCUUCUCAUUUUUCUCAUUCCCUAUCUUGGACUCUGGAUAUUCAGCCCUUGUUAGUCUCCUUGUCCUCAGGUCCCAUGUCAAUAAAUGUAUUUCCCACAUGAAAGCCAAGUUGGCUUCCAGAAAUAAAUUUGGAUAUCUUAUACUCUGAGAUAGACUCCUUUAAACUCCUUUCCUAUUAGAUUAAAGCCCAUACUUCCAAAUGUCUAGCCUUUCUAGUAGCUUGAUUCUUUCUAGUUUCUUUUUUCUUUGUCUUUUGAUAUCUUUGACUUUAUAAUAAGCAACAAUAAUAUUCUUCAUACACCUGUACUUUUUCAUAUUGACAGCUGUGCUUAAUUAAAGUUUGGUAAUUAUAGCUAAUUUCUCCAUCCAUGAGGCUUUACAUGGUUCAGAAUGCCUCUUUGUCCCUAUUCAAUAUAGACUAAGUACCAUUCUUCUGUACUUAUAUGAUACCCUGUACACACCUGUGACAGUAAAUUAUACAGAGCAAACUCCAUUGGGAAAAGAUGACAGACUUAAUCUGUUCACGAAACGCAACUUUGUGUUGUCAUGAGGACUUAAGGGUAAUUUUACACAUUGGCACAACUUGGCAACUCCAGAAUAAACUACAGUGAGUGUAUUCAAAAGGAAGAAUGGGGCUUAGAAAAGUUAGUCCUCCUCUCUGCUCACACACUCGAAGCACAAUUCUUUUGUGCUCUCCAGUUUGCCUAGUCACUGGAGCGGUCUUACUAGGAAGUGUUCAAACAGAGCCAACUUGAUUCUAGAAGGAGAUGAAGAAAAUGAUGGGAAAGGGCUUUUCCUAAGUAUAGCAAACAUUUGUAGAAUUAAUGAGUUUGCAGUUUAUAAUCUGUUUUCCACUCUAGCAAAGCUGGUCCUGUCCCAUCUGAGCUGAGAAAUUGCUGGAGCUUGAAUUAUCCAUGAAGGCGCUGACUGCUUGUUAUGCAGACUAGCUCACAGAGGACGGGGUUGCCACAAUGAAACGUAUUGCAUUCUGGAAACCCAGCAAAUGCUAUUGAAAUUUGAUGGUCAGAGAAUCUUACAUCUCUCCUUGUUUUAGGAGUCAUUCUAGGCACAUUGAAAAUAGAGCCAGGGGAUAUGGGCCUUCCAACAAUGGCAGAGUUCUUCUCUCUCACUGUAUCUGCUGCUGAUGCAGCCAAGGGUCUCAGAUUAGUCUGUGGAUGCCUACUCCUACAAAAGACAAAACUUCCAAACUUCUCUUGAGAAUGAGGGGUAAAUAUCACUCAACCCAUACAAUGUUUACUCAUUCAACAGGAAGGCUAUCUACAGAUAGCUUGUUUCUACCUUGAGUACCAUUGGUUAUUGCUGUGGUUUGUCUUGGUUAGAGCAUAUUGCUUUACGAUUUUUUGGAAUUUAUACUGUUAUCUAGUGUUUAGCAAAUCCUUCAGGAUGUGGUCCUAGUGAAAGGUAGAACCUGCCUCCACCUUAGAAGCCAAACAGCCAUAUGUGUACUUGAAUAGUCUUGACUUUUGAGACUCAUCAUAUUCCUAAAUAUCAGAUAACCAAAUGCUCACAGCAGGGAAAGAUGCAAGAGAGGAGUGCUUUAGAUGAAUUUAGGUAAGUUUAGUGGCUGCAGAGGCAGCGUUGUCAAGAUUCUUGGUGGGUGGGACGGAAGAUGAUCAAGGAAACCACACGUGGCACAAGACAAUGCAUAGCAGCAAUGCCUACCAAACACACGUUAAGAAUGAUCUUUGCCAGUGUCCUGACCGACAGCCUAGAUUUCAUUUGUCUUGUUCUUGUUGCAUUUUGUUUGUUUUAUUCUGUUUUUUUUUUCUGUCCCUGGCUCUCCAACAUUCACAGCAAAUUUUGCCCUACUUAAAUAGCCUUUAUAAUAAAGUCCUCCCCUUUUGUAUCAGUCAAAGCAAGUUUCUGUAUUUCUAUUAAAAUUCGGCACUAACAAACUCCUUCAUGCUCAUAGUGUAAGAAAUUGUAUUAAAACGAUUAUUAUAAAAACUAUUAAGGGAUUCUAUUCAUAAAAUAGAUGAAGGGAAAUGGUUUCAGUAUACAAAAGCAAUUUACCUUGCCAUAGGCUAAGAUUUUACUUUCUGUUGGCUUCAUUUAUCAUCUCAGAUUAGUGGUUAUCAACAACUUUGUCUAAGUCUGCUUGAUUAUCACAAUAAGUUGGGGGUAUUAACACUGAAACUAGUGAUAUUGUUCAACACCCAACAAUGCACAGAUUAACUGUAAUGGACCAACUUGCCCAAGAGGUAAACCACACCAACAAUAAAGACUGCAUUUAUAUUUGUGAGACUGAAUGGAUCAUAGGAUUUAUUGCUUCCAUGAUAUUCCUAUUUCCUUACAAACUUUUUAAAUUAAUAGUGGUUAGGCCAAAAUACUUCCCAUGUCUUGUUAUUCUUGGCCCAGUAAGUAGUUAAAUUGUCAGCUCUCUACCAAGAAUGAUGUCACAAUAGUGAAAAAGAAGCAAAUAAUAGAGCAAAUAUGACAAUCUCUUUUAAGAUUCUUCAGAUAAAAGGGAAAGCUACAAUAGAAAACUGUAUCAACUAAUAUAUCCAUAGACAGACUUUUAAUGAAGAUAAUAAAGGGGAAGAAAUCUGGGGUUAAAUGUUUAGGAAUCAGUAAGGAAGAUAAACUUCAACCCUGCAACUUCUCUAGAAGUCAAAGCUGGAUGGAGAGCAUUUUAAGGAGAAAACUCAAUUUUAUCCUUUCAGUUAAAACUCUUUAAAUGGUUACCUAAACGGAAUGGGAUGUUUUAGCCACCACCCUGAACAGGCCACAAUUUAUCUCAAGGCUUGCCCUUUAAAAGCAAAUCACAGGCGCUCAUCACCAUCAGACAAGAUGUCCAGCUUCAACUGUUCUACUUGAUGCAAACAACAGUUCAGAUGUUCUCGCCAAAUGAACUCUGCAUCAGAUGACACCCUCUCUGGACAGAAGUUCAGCAUUAUGAGAUGAUCCAUGCUGUGAAUGCCAGCCUCGUUUUCAAAAUGCAUUCUGUAGCUUUGACGACAUAAAAGAAGCCCACUUGUGGUCACAAAAACAAGUUUAUUAUUACGAAGCCUCAUCGAGUUGCUGCAACAGAAUAGCUAAGUGUUCAUUUAAGCAACAAUAGACUCUAUAAUCAACAUCAGAUACAACACUAUUUCCUGACAUUACUAGACAGUCACCUAGUAGCCACAAUCAUUGUGACUAUCCCAUAGCUUUAGAGGACAGAAUUUAAGGAGCAGCCUGUCAGGUGUCAUUAGAUCGAAGUAUCUUGUGAAAGCCUGCUUAUUGGUUCCCAGAUGGCUGUCUUCUCAGAUCCUCACAGGGCAUAGGAAGCAAGCCCUCUCCUAAUGUGUGGGCGCUCUGAUUACAUCAUAACAUCCUCAUGAUCAUGACCUCAUCUACACCUGAUUCCUUCUCAAGGCCCCAAAUCAUUAUCCCAUGUAGCAUCUCUUUUUUAAACAAGAAACCCAUUAAGUCGCAAAUUAAGUAAAAACGAGGCCUUUAUUCAUGCAAUUUUCUUAUCUUGUCGAUCUAAUUUUUCAUCCAUAAGGAUUUGGCCUAAUUGGAUUAUACAGUUCAUGCAUAGUUUCCUUCCCUGAAGCCAAGGCUACUAUUUAAAUCUUAUUGCAUUACCUAGAAACAAUCUCCCACAAGUAUAAAUGCUAUAUUAUAUGAUAUAUGUGAUUUAAGUCAAUAAUCAUCAAGUAGUGUCAUUUUCCUUAAGAUCAUAUCCCAUGGGUAUAAGUAAUAUAGAUAGGAGAUAGCCUCACUAUCAUAUUCCAUAGACAAUUAUGGAAUUUAUCAUUCUUAUUUUUGAUAAUCUUAUUCAUCUUUAAAAUGGACAGUAACAAUAUUUAGCCCAAUACCCUCUCCUAUUUUUCUUCCACUACUACUGAGCUCUUUUCUUCUUCAAGACUAGUAUCCAUUCUACUUUCAUGUGUUUUUGUUGCUAACUAAUUUUUAGAGAACAUUUUAAUACAUGAUCAUAUCCCUUUAAAAAAGGGAAAGUUUUUAAACAAUUGUACUUAUUUCUACUGACAUUUAAAAGUUCUCUGAUUAUUUUAGCUUCUCAUAUAGCUAACAUACACAGAGAAAAUACCUAAGUUAAAGGGCUAGAUUUUUUUAUAAAGAAAAAUAGUAGAUUUUAGCAGGUAGGAAAAAGGAAGAAUCUAAUUGGAAUCCAGUUAAGUUAUUGAUGUAACUUAAUGCUCUCUUACCAGGUAUCUUGGUCAAAGAAAAAAAAUUAAAAACACAACAAUGGAUAUAUGAGUCACCAAUAGGAAGAAAUUCAGUCCCUGACAAUGACAAAAAUGAAGGGGAAAUGACUAAGUGCCACAAUGGAAAGCUGUAAUAAUCAGUAAGCUUUUCUGUAAAUAAGAUGUUACCAGAUUGCAUAUUCUACUUUUCCCUCCUCAUAUUUUCUUCUUUAUUGUUAUUACUAUAACUGCUAACUUGUAGCAAUGUGCCAAUAUAGAAAAACAAGAAUUGCUGCCACCAGAGUUGAGACUAGAAUGAGGCAUGUUGAAGUACCGAAAUGGAAAAUUCAAAAAACACUCAUACUAAGUUUGUACUGGUGUUAGUUACCUAACCUCUAACCUACGGUUGCUGUCAUGUGUCUUUUCUGAUACACACUGUAUAAUUACUCCUCUGAAAUUUUCCUGUCCAAAGGAAGAACAGAAACAAAAAAAUGGAACAGAGAC
rnacentral:sRNA from 1 species